UUAACAUUUCUUCUUUAUUUAAGAACCGAGAUAGAACAACAGAGAGGACUUUUACCAUCACGAUUUGCUAGCUUCUUUUUCAUGGAGAUAUUAACUCGAAGAAUCAGCUGAAACCCCAAAAUACAUCUUCUCCGAAACCCAUUUCGUGCUCUCAAAAAAUGAAAAAAAAACCAACAAAGAAAAAGAAGAACAAAGAUAAUAACCUCCAAAUCCUUCUUCUCCACCACCGAGAUUAACAUAUUAUGAUCUUCCUCGUUCACCGAGCAAAUCGAUUGAAAACAUCCAUCCAUUAAAAUGCCUCCCAAGCCCCAAAAGCCCAAAGCAAAAUUGGUUAAACAACAUAAAAGGAGUAAAAACAUCAUCGCUGCAUCUUCCUCACAGAACUUGGAGGCACAAGAAGAUGAUCCUUUAGGAUCACUACUUUCAACACCAAAUGUAGAGGUAGAUGAAAAUAAUGGAGCACCACAAGAUUUAUGACUAUUGGUCACGUACAAUUCACAUAUCGCAUCUCGAAUUUAGACGGGAGAGAAACCAUCGAAACAGUUGAACGUAAAAAAUCACUCCAAAACACAUAAUGAAUGGAAUCUAGAAAGUUCAUGCCAGAAGGUUAAAGAUGUAGUCGAAAUGAUUGGCUUAACACAUCUUGUUCAGAAUGUGUAUGUGAAAGUGGAUGACGCAUUGUGUAGUGCAUUUGUAGAAAGAUUUUAUCCAAAAACAAAUACCUUUCACUUUUCUUUCGGGGAGAUGACUAUAACCGCUGAUAACAUAAGUAAUAUCUUGGGGUUGCAUAUGGCAGGAAUACCAGUAAAAGGUACAGGGCCUCAUGCUACUGCAUACGAAGAAUGUGUGAAUCUGGUUACCAAUGGUUUAGGUGUGUCAAAAGAAGAUGCAGAACAACAAGUGGCUACGAAAAGAAAUCUAAGCUUAAUUUGGUUGAAGGAAUGGAAGAACAUAAAAGAUGAAGAUAGUGAAAUGGAUAAGGAGUGUGCCAUUAGAGCUUAGUAAUUAAAAUAAUAGUUGCCAGUAAGAGCAAGCCGUAACGUCACCAAAUAUAUUUUAAGCGAUUCUGAUGAGGCUGUUGAUGAUAAGUCAGAUUCUGAUGCUGCUGUGGAUAUUUCUUCUGAAGAUGAUGAUUAACUUUGCAAAGUCUUAAUGUGAGAGAACUGUAUAUGAGCAGGAAAGGUUUCAGUAUUGCUGAUCAUGUGCUUUGUGUGGUUUACUAUUUCUGACUUGUCUGUCUUUACUUUUGAUCUGUUGUCUCUUAUCCAAUGACUUGAAGUAUUAUUGACAAUAUUUACAGAUAUUAAUCUAAUUAGGUUGGCUUCAAAUUUUCUAUCAA